rnacentral:rRNA from 1 species
CAGUAGCCGCGGUAAAACAGAGGGUGCGAGCGUUAAUCGGAUUUACUGGGCGUAAAGCGUGCGUAGGCGGCUAAUUGAGUCGGAUGUGAAAUCCCCGAGCUUAACUUGGGAAUUGCAUUCGAUACUGGUUAGCUAGAGUGUGGGAGAGGAUGGUAGAAUUCCAGGUGUAGCGGUGAAAUGCGUAGAGAUCUGGAGGAAUACCGAUGGCGAAGGCAGCCAUCUGGCCUAACACUGACGCUGAGGUACGAAAGCAUGGGGAGCAAACAGGAUUAGAUACCCCUGUAGUCCCUGUCUCUUAUAC